rnacentral:lncRNA from 1 species
UCUUAAUUUAAAAUUAAUUUAUUGCUAAACAGUGCUAAUGAUCAUCUCAGCCUUCAGCGAGUUGUAAUCAUUUUGCUGAUGGAGAGUCUUGCCUCAAUGUUCAUGGCUGCUGACUGACCAGGGUGGUGGUAUCUGAAGGCUGGAGUGGCUGUGACAAUUUCUUAAAAUAAGGACAAUAGUGCAGUUUGCUGCAUUGAUUGACUCUUCCUUUCAUGAAAGAUUUCUCUGUAGCAUAUGAUGCUGUUUGAUAGCAUUUUACCCAAAGAAGAACUUCUUUCAAAAUUGGAGUCAAUCCUUUCAAACCCUGCCACUGCUGUAUCAUCUAAGUUUAUGUAAUAUUAUAAAUCCUUUGUGGUCAUGUCAACAAUGUUCACGGCAUUUCACCAGGAGUAGAUUCCACCUCAAGAAACCACUUUCUUAUCUGUAAGAAGGAACUCCUCAUCCAUCCACAUUUUAUUAUGAUAUUGCAGCAUUUCAGUCACAUCUUGAGGCUUCAUGUCUCAUUCUAGUUCUUUGCCUCUUUCCUCCACAUCUGCAGUUGCUUCCUACACUAAAGUCUUGAACCUCUCAAAGUCAUCCAUGAGGGUUGGAAUCAGCUUCUCAACUCCUAUUAAUGUUGCUAUUUUAGCCUUUUCCCAUGGUUCAUGAAUGUCUUAAUGGCAUCUAAAAUGGUGAGUUUUUUCCAGAAGGUUUUCAGUGGACUUUGCCCAGAUCCAUCAGAGGAAUCACUGUCUAUGGCUGCUAUAGCUUAAUGAAAUGUAUUUCUUAAAUAUUAAGAUUUGAAAGUUAAAAUUACUCUGAUUCAUGGGCUGCAGAAUGGAUGUUGUGUUAGCAGGCAUGAAAACAACAUUAAUUUCCUUGUACAUCUCCAUCAGAGGUCUUGGGUUACCCAGGUGCAUUGUCAAUGAGUAGUAAUAUUUCUACUUAUUGUAGAAUUUUUUUCUUUUUUUCCUUCGUUUUUCCAACAGUGGGCUUAAGAUAUUGAAUAAACCACGCUAUAAACGUGCUGUAAUUUAGUCCUUGUUAUUCCACUUAUAGAGCACAGGCAAAGUAGAUUUAGCAUAAGGUUAAGAACCCUGGGAUUUUUAAAAUGAGAAAUGAGCAUUGGCUUCAACUUAAAGUUACCAGCUAUAUUAGCCCCUAACGAGAGUCAGCCAGUCCUUUGAAACUUGGAAGCCAGGCAUUGACUUCUUGCUAGCUAUGAGAGUCUUAGAUGACAUCUUCUUCUAAUAUGUGACUGUUUUACCUCCACUGAAAAUCUGUUUAGUGUAGCCACCUUCAUUAUUGAUCUUAGCUAGAUCUUCUGUAUAACAUGCUGCAGCUUCUACAUCAGCACUUGCUGCUUCACCUUGUACUUUUGUAUUGUGGAGAUGGUUUCUUCUUUUAAACCUCAUGAACCACCCUUUGCUAGCGUCAGUCUUUUCUUGUGCAGCUUCCUCACCUCUCAGCCUUCAUAGAAUUAAAGAGAAUUAGGGCCUUGCUCUGGAUUCGGUUUUGGAUUAAGGGAAUGUUGUGGCUCGUUUGAUCUUC